UCUUCAUUCCACGUGCUCUUUCUCCGGUUAGAGUGACGAGAGAGCACGCAAAAUGAAGAGA
rnacentral:pre_miRNA from 1 species